rnacentral:piRNA from 1 species
UCAGACAUGGAUUCCGUGAAGGGACAA